UACGAGGGGUGCAAGCGUUGCUCGGAAUUAUUGGGCGUAAAGGGUAGGUAGGUGGUCUCAUUUGUCCGGGGUGAAAGCCUUGAGCUUAACUCAAGAAGUGCCCCGGAAACGGUGAGACUCGAGUACUGGAGAGGGUCGUGGAAUUCCUGGUGUAGCGGUGGAAUGCGCAGAUAUCAGGAGGAACACCGAUGGCGAAGGCAGGUCACUGGGCCGCAACUGACGCUGAGGAGCGAAAGCAUGGGGAGCGAACAGG
rnacentral:rRNA from 1 species